rnacentral:rRNA from 1 species
UACGUAGGGUGCAAGCAUUAAUCGGAAUUACUGGGCGUAAAGCGUGCGCAGGCGGUGAUGUAAGACAGAUGUGAAAUCCCCGGGCUCAACUUGGGAACUGCAUUUGUGACUGCAUCGCUGGAGUGCGGCAGAGGGGGAUGGAAUUCCGCGUGUAGCAGUGAAAUGCGUAGAUAUGCGGAGGAACACCGAUGGCGAAGGCAAUCCCCUGGGCCUGCACUGACGCUCAUGCACGAAAGCGUGGGGAGCAAACAGG